GGGUGUCCGGCGAUGCCUGCCGGGCAGGGAAUUGGGGUAGCCGGGCCGCUGCCU
rnacentral:ncRNA from 1 species